CAGUAGCCGCGGGAAUACAGAGGGUGCGAGCGUUAAUCGGAUUUACUGGGCGUAAAGCGUGCGUAGGCGGCUAAUUGAGUCGGAUGUGAAAUCCCCGAGCUUAACUUGGGAAUUGCAUUCGAUACUGGUUAGCUAGAGUGUGGGAGAGGAUGGUAGAAUUCCAGGUGUAGCGGUGAAAUGCGUAGAGAUCUGGAGGAAUACCGAUGGCGAAGGCAGCCAUCUGGCCUAACACUGACGCUGAGGUACGAAAGCAUGGGGAGCAAACAGGAUUAGAGACCCCGGUAGUCCCUGUCUCUUAUAU
rnacentral:rRNA from 1 species